AGAACAGUCCCCACAUUCCUGGCUGGAGAUCGCUGGGAACAGUCAGGUUUGCGGGAGGAGAGAGACGGCUGCUCUGGACGCGUUAAGCCGGAGGAGGACACAGAAUCAGAGAAUCUGUGGGUGCCUGGGGGCCUGAACAGGCACAGGGGUGGGGCGGGAGGCUCUGGACAUCCCUGGGGUGGUUCAGAAAAACCCCGCCACCUUGUCAGCUGAAGGGUCCACAUUCGUCUGGGACCUGGGCCCCAUGUAUUUUCAAUCUCACGCCUUCCAUGCUGGGACAAGGACUUGCGCCAAAGAUCAGUUUCACAAUUACUACGAAGACAUUUCACAACAGACAACGGAGAAAGCAAACUCACAAGACGUCCUGGAAGACCUACGGCCAAUCUGAGAUCAAAUACAAUCUGGCCUUGGGAGCCAGGCCCGGGGGACAAGGUCCAGCCACUCCCGCCACUCCCUCCCACCACUCCUGGAUCUGUCCGGGGAGCGUCUGCGGGGUCACUGCUCUCUCCAGCAAGGGCCCUGAAGUCAGGGCAAGACACAGAUGCCAUCAGCGAGGGGCUGGUGGGGCCUCUGUCUCCUGCCCAGUCAGCUCAGUCCUCUUGUUUACUAGCAAACCCGCACCGCACACGCCAAUUCAUCGUCCUGAAUAAUUGAUCCAGCACGUUUGAAUAAUUCAGGCUCAGCUGGGACCCACGGUGGAGAAAUCCUAUAGUCCUUUGGCUUUCUCUCCCCAUGUGACAAAGCUGGGACAGACCAGGAACCACCCCCCAGGGAGCCAGCCUGUAGCUUAACCGUCUCUGGCUCAGGAAAGCCCUGCAGACCCUGGGGCUGCCCGAAUGUGGGCAGCCAUGAAGAUUUCGGCCCACACACAUCAGCCUCCAAAGCCCAGAAGCUUUCCUUCAACUAGCGGCAGGAGGAAAGGAGGACUUCAGGGGUCGUGACCACAGCUUCCAGCUUUAUGUAAACACACAUCUUAGUGUCCUAGAAAUGACCCAGAACUGUGAGCUGCGGGCGAAGCAAAGUGAGGGCCCCCCCAGCUUGCUUGCCCUCGUCUCGUGGGCCCAGGGCAGAGCCUGGCACCCCAUCUCGGCUUUGCUAAGACCAGCUGGGGACUGUGCUCAACACUACCUCAGGGAAGAUUCUGGUACUGCCCUGACAGGGACCCUGUCCUCACCCCGCCCACAGCUGAGCCCUGGAAUCUGACCAUCAGAGCCCCUUCCCUGGGGUCUGGAUUUUGGUCCCUGGUCACACUUCUGGUCCCCAGGGAAGGGAUGCUCUUUACACUGUGAUGAGGGUUCUGUACCUCAGGGUAAGGAAGCAACCAGAUGGCAGUUUCCACCAGGGGAAGAGUGAUGGGAGGGUUUGAUGGGAGAGCGACUCUGCCCAUGAGAAUGCUCGGGGGGUCGGGGUCACCCAGCAGCUGCGCCUCCAGAGUGACGGCACAGCCCACAGUCACCUUCGAGCCUGCGGUUCUGCCUGACACCGAAGACUGUGCUUCUCUGGGUUUGAAUAUGAUGAACCAAGCGGAUUAAAUCAGAGCAAAGUGCCCGUCACCCUUUUCUCACUGUAUUUCUCUCUGUGCUGCUCCUCGGGCGUCUUUCUCAUACAUACUGGGUGCUUCCGUCUGAGUCAUCCAUGAGAGCAUAAGAAAUGCCCACGGUCAGGCCCGUGAUCUGCCCAGCUUCACCAGCGCAGAGCCUGGCAAUACCCUGCAUCUGCUGGACGCUUCCCUCUGAAACCGGCUGGGAACACCCCCUCGGCAAAGUCUACUAUGAAUUGCUCCUAACAUGGGUGUCCAGUAACAGAACCCAUCACCUACUGGCCACAGCUUGUUCUCCAGACACUGCUAAGCAUUCCCAUGCUUUCUUUCACUGGAUCCUGGUAACAGACUGGGAAGAACCUCUGAUCACCCCACUUUCCAGGUGGGUAAACUGAGGCGCAGAGUGCUCCUGGGCCUGGCUCGGAGUUACCCUUUGGGGGUGUAGCUGAGCUCUGAACCCUGUCCACCUGGCUCCAAAGACGGUGCAACUGCUGCCUAGGGAUUUACCACAGCAACUUCGACCCUUAUCACUAGCACGCGACUGUUAAGAGGAGAAUUACAGCCAGAACCACUUCACUCCUGAUGGUAAUAACCAUCAGGAGCAGUGAUCAGCAUCAGUCAUAGCAUUUGAACCUGUUCCAGGCUGAGAAUCAGGACGGGGAGAGACAGAGAGAGACGAUGGGCUCGGCGACCUUGUGUGAGAGAAGGGAAGAGCCGGGCUUCCGAGAGGGCGGGCGAGCCCCCGGCAUCGGGCUGCUUGCAAAUCUUCCAGACCCCACACCCCCCGGUCCUGCUCAGAGCUCAUUUUGGAAGUUGAUUACUAGGACGAUAAUCAAGUAAAUGGUGGAACGUAUUCAGGCUCCUUAGAUUUUUGGAAAAGAUUUGUGAAGAGAGAAUUGUCUGGGAUAUUCCAUUCAAUUUAUCACCAGUUUCUAUUCAAUGCAUCACCCAAACUGGUUUUCACGUCCCUGUGCAGGGCCAUCCACGCAGAAUGGAUUAUGUGGCCUCUGAACUGAGGGCUUGGGGCCCAGUGAGACACAGGUCUGUAACCAGAACAUAGAGGUAAUGAGCCCACUGGUGACUGGAAGCCCCUCGUGGUGAUGGCGGAGGACUGGCUGGCCGCACUGCUGGGCCUGUGCCUGGACGGGGCUCCAGCCAUGGGUGGGCUGUGGGAGCGGAGCCCUGCCGGAUGAGAUCAGGAGGUCCGGGCUCCACACAGAGCAGUGGGGUCAGGCAAGGCCUGCAGGUCUGGGGCCUGGGGGCCACAGCACACCCAGUCCAGGCUCCCCUGGGAGCAAACGAGGCGAGGCGGCCGCCAGCCAGCAGCAGUGACGGCACCCAGGUCAAGGCCCCCCUGCCGCGGGAGCAGCCCCCCAAAUCUAGCGGUUUUCCUGGACAACCUGGGACCUUCCAAAUCCAAACUUGCCUCUGGCUUCUAGUGACCCAGGAAGCCGAACGGCCCGGCCCCCGCCCCCAGUCAGCCUCAGGAGCUGACUGCCUGUCCUCCUCCGGCAGAUGCGUGGACAGAGCCUGUGGGUUGCACAUCCUCAUUCCUUUCUCUUAGCUUCCUUCUGGGGAAGCGCUGGCGCGGCCAUCCCCCACCACCACCCUGCGCCCGAGGGUCCAAUGGAGCCAGAUUCCUGCGGGUGUGGACACCGCCCGGCGGGGCGGGGGCAGCAGCGGGCGGGGGAGAGGAGGCCCCACACUGUCUUCGAGGGGUUGGGAUGACAAGCAUGAGCCUCCCACGCCAGGGCUCUGAGCUCGUCUAACCGGAUCCCAGGGCCCCCGAGGGGCUCCUGUCUGCAGGCUGAGCCCAGGCCUGAAGAAAGCAGCUCUGCUCAAGUCUGCGCUGGGACCAGCCUGGACAGCAGAGACCGCCCACCCAUGUGUCCCCCUCCUCCACCCACACAGCCGGGAGGGGGCGCAGACUGGCCUGUGAGCUGCCCGCCCUGCCGAGCUCCCCGGAGGCUGAGCCGUCAGGCCCGGUUUCAGGCCCAGGGGAAACAGUUCCAAAAAUAAAAACCUAUUUUCAAAACCACGAAGAGGAGGUGCAGCCUGCGGUCAGCAGCAGCCGUGUCCCCGGGCCGCACACACUGGCCAGACCUGCUUCUCCCAGAAGAAAUGGACUUCAGCAGAAGACGCCCGUGUUCUCGACUGGAAACUGUGACCAGCGGCUCCAAAUCCACCCAGCAGCCUGGAGACCGUAGCGAGGCCAAGAGGCACACGAAGAGAUGUGCAGCGUGGAUGACUAUGGGACAAAUGCAAAUCAAAACUGCAACGAGGCAUCACCGCUCAUCAGAGUGGACGCCAUGAGAAAGUCUACAAAUAACAGACGCUGGAGAGGGUGUGGAGACCGAGGGGCCCUCCUGCCCUGCCGGUGAGGGAUGCAAACUGGAGCAGUGUCUGGUGUAGAGCAGUGACUCAGUAACAAAAACACCUCGUCUUUUUCAGGGUCUUUCCCAACACAGGUGGUUACAAGAUGCUGAGUACAGCCC
ensembl:lncRNA